AUCGAGUGAUCCUGGAUGCCAACGCCCAUAUCCUUUUCUAGUGUGUUCGAGGCUUCCAAUUGUUGAAUCGAUGGAGGCUGGCGCUGCGUUCUUCCAUCGGUUCUUCUUUCUUUGUAGUUCACGAUUGAUCAAUUCUUCGUGAGAUUCGUGUGAGCGCAUAUACAUACAGGAGAAAAACAAUUCAUUGUUAGAUUAUUAAUUGAUGAUUGCAAGAAGACAAGAUCAAUCAAUCAAUCUCCUGAUUAGUUUCUUUCCUUUUUGUACGAGGAACAUCUCGUCUCCGCCGUGAAUCGCGUGGUGGCCGAAACUCUAGUAGCCAACUUCUCCAGACUUGUCCAGUCAUCGUCUGCGGCAAUUGCAGAUCGCCGGAGUGGCCUCCUCUGGCCAUAGAGAGGCCUUGCCG
rnacentral:rRNA from 1 species